AACGAACGCUGGCGGCAUGCCUAACACAUGCAAGUCGAACGAGAUCUUCGGGUCUAGUGGCGCACGGGUGCGUAACGCGGGGGAAUCUGCCCUUUGGUUCGGAAUAACAGUUGGAAACGACUGCUAAUACCGGUUGAUGACGAAAGUCCAAAGAUUUAUCGCCAGAGGAUGAGCUCGCGUAGGAUUAGCUAGUUGGUGUGGUAAAGGCGCACCAAGGCGACGAUCCUUAGAUGGUCUGAGAGGAUGACCAGCCACAAUGGGACUGAGACACGGCCCAGACUCCUACGGGAGGCAGCAGUGGGGAAUAUUGGACAAUGGGCGAAAGCCUGAUCCAGCAAUGCCGCGUGAGUGAUGAAGGCCUUAGGGUUGUAAAGCUCUUUUACCCGGGAUGAUAAUGACAGUACCGGGAGAAUAAGCUCCGGCUAACUCCGUGCCAGCCGCCGCAGUAA
rnacentral:rRNA from 1 species